rnacentral:tRNA from 1 species
GCCUCCGUGGUGUAGUGGUCAGCACGCUCGGCGUGUAUUCGAGAGGUCCACGGUUCGAGUCCCGGCGAGGGCA